UACGUAGGAGGCAAGCGUUGUCCGGAUUUACUGGGCGUAAAGCGCGUGUAGGCGGUUUGCCAAGUCUGCCGUGAAAGCGCCCCGCUUAACGGGGCGAGGUCGGUGGAUACUGGUAGACUGGAGGACGGUAGAGGGGGGUGGAAUUCCCGGUGUAGUGGUGAAAUGCGUAGAUAUCGGGAGGAACACCAGAGGCGAAGGCGGCCCCCUGGGCCGCUCCUGACGCUGAGACGCGAAGGCCAGGGUAGCGAACGGG
rnacentral:rRNA from 1 species